rnacentral:tRNA from 1 species
AAUUAUUGAACUUGUUUAAGUAUAUAUUUUGAAAAUAUAAAAAAGAAGUUUUAAUCUUCUAAUAAUUU